rnacentral:misc_RNA from 1 species
GAUGAAGAACGCAGCGAAAUGCGAUACUUGGUGUGAAUUGCAGAAUCCCGUGAACCAUCGAGUCUUUGAACGCAAGUUGCGCCCGAAGCCAUUAGGCCGAGGGCACGCCUGCCUGGGUGUCACACACCGUUACCCUCGCGCCAACGUCCAUCGUUGGCCGCGGCGCGGGGCGUGCGCUGACCUCCCGCGAGCGGGGUCUCGUGGUUGGUUGAAAAUCGAGUUCGCGGUCGAGGGUGCCGUGAUGAAAUGGUGGAUGGGCGACGCCCGAGGCCAAUCACGCGCGACUCUGUCCGGCUNNNACUCCUGGACCCCUUCGGCGUCUCCGGACGCUCUUUGGCGAGACCUCAGGUCAGGCGGGGCUACCCGCUGAGUUUAAGCAUAUCAAUAAGCGGAGGA